AAGUCGUAACAAGGUUUCCGUAGGUGAACCUGCGGAAGGAUCAUUACUGAACUGUCAACACGAGUUGUUGCUGGUCCUCAAAUGGGGGCAUGUGCACACUCUGUUUACACAUCCACUCACACCUGUGCACCCUCUGUAGUUCUGUGGCAUGGGGGACUCUGUCCUCCUGUUGUGGCUCUACAUCUUUACACACACUCUGUAACAAAGUCUCAUGGAAUGUAUGUCGCGUUUAACGCAAUACAAUACAACUUUCAGCAACGGAUCUCUUGGCUCUCGCAUCGAUGAAGAACGCAGCGAAAUGCGAUAAGUAAUGUGAAUUGCAGAAUUCAGUGAAUCAUCGAAUCUUUGAACGCACCUUGCGCCCUUUGGCUAUUCCGAAGGGCAUGCCUGUUUGAGUAUCAUGAACACCUCAACUCUCGUGGUUUGCUACGAUGAGCUUGGACUUUGGGGGUUUUGCUGGCCUGCGGUCGGCUCCUCUCAAAUGAAUCAGCUUCCCAGUGUUUGGUGGAGUCGCAGGUGUGAUAACUAUCUACGCUUGUGGCUUUUCACCAGAUAACCUUCGGUGACGGAGGUUUGCUGGGGCUCAUAAAUGUCUUUCCUCAGUGAAGACAGCCUUUUGAACGUUGUCUC
rnacentral:rRNA from 1 species